rnacentral:rRNA from 1 species
GACGAACGCUGGCGGCGUGCCUAAUACAUGCAAGUAGGACGCAGGUGCGAAGGGGAGAGCAACGCGUAGGAAACUGCCUAAUAGAGGGGGAUAAGCAUUGGAAACGAUAGCUAAUACCGCAUACUAGUAGAUGGAUCUGCGUUGUAUUAGCUAGGAGGUAGGGUAAUGGCCUACCUUGGCGACGAUACGUAGCCGGCCUGAAGGGGAGAACGGCCACCCUGGGACUUAGACACGGCCCAAACUCCUUCAGGGGGCAGCAGUAGGGGAUCGUCGGCAAUUGGGAGAACCCUGACCAAGCAACUCCGCGUGAGUGAAGGAAGUUUUCGGAUCGUAAAGCUCUGUUGUUCAGGAAGCGGUACUUACCCAGGAGGGAACGGCUAACUACGUGCCAGCAGCCGCGGUAAUUC